CACGUAGUUAGCCGGGGCUUCUUAAUCAGGUACCGUCAUUUUCUUCCCUGCUGAUAGAGCUUUACAUACCGAAAUACUUCUUCACUCACGCGGCGUCGCUGCAUCAGGGUUUCCCCCAUUGUGCAAUAUUCCCCACCUGCUGCCUCCCGUAGGAGUUUGGGCCGUGUCUCAGUCCCAAUGUGGCCGUUCACCCUCUCAGGCCGGCUACUGAUCGUCGCCUUGGUGAGCCAUUACCCCACCAACAAGCUAAUCAGACGCGGAACCAUCGUAUACCACCAGAGUUUUUCACACCACUUCAUGCGAAGCUGUGCGCUUAUGCGGUAUUAGCACCUAUUUCUAAGUGUUAUCCCCCAGUAUACGGCAGGUUUUCCACGCGUUACUCACCCGUCCGCCACUAACUCAUAAAUCACUAGGUUUCAAUAUGAGUCCGUUCGACUUGCAUGUGUUAAGCACGCCGCCAGCGUUCAUCCUGAGCCAGGAUCAAACUCU
rnacentral:rRNA from 1 species